AGAGCGUUUUCCGCGCCUUAUUCUUUUUUGGAUACAUUCUUAUAUUGUAUUCCCUUAUUUCCUUUGCUCCACGUUAAUGUGAUGUUAUUGAAUUCGUUUGAUUUGAUUCUAUAAUAAUAUAUUAAUUUUUUCGCGUAGCAAAGAAAUUUUCAGAGCCGCCAAAGCAUUUUCCUUUCCUCAGUUGUUUUAGACACAUGGGUAUAGUAUAUUAUGCGUCAAAUUAUUAUUACACGGAAUGCUUAUUCACCCACAUUUUACCAAAUAACCCAGUGAAGGAUGCCUGGACCGGGGCUGUGUAUAGCGCAUAAUUAGUAGUAAUACUUUAACUACUUAGUAAGUGUAGCUAGAUAUAAUUAUGAACAUUUUCAGAGUGUUUGGAACGUUACCUCACAUUUGUCAACGAUUGUUGAAACGACCACAAAAUUUGUUUACCUCUAAUCAACCUUCACCAUACUGCCAAUUCAAUGAAGACACUGUAAUGUUAUGUGACAGUAAUAUACAACGGAUGAAGCUACUUCUGAAGGAUACAGCAACUAGUAGUAGUUCUGUUUCUGUAGAGUCAAAAACAAAACUUUUGUGCAGCAUUUAUUUGCAACUGAAAUCUCAGGAGAAAGCUGAUUUCUUAAGGCAUCUGGUUAUGAACUACGGAGUAAAUCAUUCAAGUGUUCAGAAAUGUGCUCGGUCUUUUCUCUCAAGUCAGGAACAAGGAGAAAGUUCCAGAAUAAAAGCCGAGGAGAAUCUACGAUCAUCCCUGACACCAUAUUACAUUGGCUUAUUUGGUCAUAUAGGAAGAUUGGAGGGUGGAGUAAAGUUCUUAGUUGAUUUGAGAAAAGAUGUCCUGUAUCUUCUGUCUAUGUUAGAGCCUAACAAGUCAAUAGCUCCAAACAUAAAAGCCUUAAAUAAAACACUUAGAGAUCUUCUAUCUCUUUGGUUCUCUGCUGGCUUCAUGAGAUUACAACGGGUAACAUGGGACUCAUCGUGUGAUAUGCUACAAAAGAUAUCAGAAUAUGAAGCUGUCCAUCCUGUUCGUAGUUGGGGAGAUCUGAAACUCCGAGUUGGUCCAUACCGGCGUUGUUAUGUCUUCACUCACAGUAGCAUGCCUAAGGAGCCAAUUGUUGUUCUUCAUACAGCAUUAACUACUGAAAUAUCAACUUCUAUACAGUCUAUUGUUAAUCAUGCACAUCUUCAGUUGGAGGAAAAAUUGUUUCAGCCUUUGAGCAAGGAUGUUGUAGAAGAUCCUAAAAAUAUUCAUGCUGCUGUCUUUUAUUCCAUAUCUUCAACCCAGAAAGGCUUACAGGGUAUUGAGCUAGGAACUCAACUGAUCAAACAAGCUGUUAAAGAUGUGCUUGCAGAAUUUCCACGAAUUUCCUUGUUCUCUACACUUUCACCUGUUCCUGGCUUUCGAGACUGGCUCUUAUUAGAACUUAGCAAAGAUGAAAGAGGAGCAUUACUGUCAUCUUUCUUUCUGACUGAUGAGGAAUACACCUCAUUAAAAGAUCAUCUGUGCAAAAAUAAUGCUGUUUCUGUGAGGGAACAAAUCUUAGAAAUGCUGAAGUCGAACCAGUGGUUGCAGGAUGCAAACUUAAGUGAAUUACUUAAGGUUCCAUUCAUGAGAUUGUGUGCUCAAUACCUAUAUAGAGAAAAAAGAAGAGGUUAUGCUCUUAACAGUGUAGAAAUGUAUCUGCCCCCUCAGUGAAUAGCUCAACACAAUUAAUCCAGGAAAGACUAUGGUGAAAAACUCUUCAACAAGUGAGAAGAUGGCUUCCCAGCUCAUUUCCAUUUACGAAAUGGUGCCUGUAUUUGGAGACUUAACUGGUUGGCUGAUAA
rnacentral:misc_RNA from 1 species